AGAGUUUGAUCCUGGCUCAGGACGAACGCUGGCGGCGUGCUUAACACAUGCAAGUCGAACGGAAAGGCCCUGCUUUUGUGGGGUGCUCGAGUGGCGAACGGGUGAGUAACACGUGAGUAACCUGCCCUUGACUUUGGGAUAACUUCAGGAAACUGGGGCUAAUACCGGAUAGGAGCUCCUGCUGCAUGGUGGGGGUUGGAAAGUUUCGGCGGUUGGGGAUGGACUCGCGGCUUAUCAGCUUGUUGGUGGGGUAGUGGCUUACCAAGGCUUUGACGGGUAGCCGGCCUGAGAGGGUGACCGGCCACAUUGGGACUGAGAUACGGCCCAGACUCCUACGGGAGGCAGCAGUGGGGAAUAUUGCACAAUGGGCGGAAGCCUGAUGCAGCAACGCCGCGUGCGGGAUGACGGCCUUCGGGUUGUAAACCGCUUUCGCCUGUGACGAAGCGUGAGUGACGGUAAUGGGUAAAGAAGCACCGGCUAACUACGUGCCAGCAGCCGCGGUGAUACGUAGGGUGCGAGCGUUGUCCGGAUUUAUUGGGCGUAAAGGGCUCGUAGGUGGUUGAUCGCGUCGGAAGUGUAAUCUUGGGGCUUAACCCUGAGCGUGCUUUCGAUACGGGUUGACUUGAGGAAGGUAGGGGAGAAUGGAAUUCCUGGUGGAGCGGUGGAAUGCGCAGAUAUCAGGAGGAACACCAGUGGCGAAGGCGGUUCUCUGGGCCUUUCCUGACGCUGAGGAGCGAAAGCGUGGGGAGCGAACAGGCUUAGAUACCCUGGUAGUCCACGCUGUAAACGGUGGGUACUAGGUGUGGGGUCCAUUCCACGGGUUCCGUGCCGUAGCUAACGCUUUAAGUACCCCGCCUGGGGAGUACGGCCGCAAGGCUAAAACUCAAAGGAAUUGACGGGGCCCCGCACAAGCGGCGGAGCAUGCGGAUUAAUUCGAUGCAACGCGUAGAACCUUACCUGGGUUUGACAUGGAUCGGGAGUGCUCAGAGAUGGGUGUGCCUCUUUUGGGGUCGGUUCACAGGUGGUGCAUGGCUGUCGUCAGCUCGUGUCGUGAGAUGUUGGGUUAAGUCCC
rnacentral:rRNA from 1 species